rnacentral:rRNA from 1 species
GACGGAGGAUGCAAGCGUUAUCCGGAAUCAUUGGGCGUAAAGCGCGCGUAGGCGGUUACUUAAGUUGGAUGUGAAAGCCCUCGGCUUAACUGAGGAAGUGCAUCCAAAACUGAGUAGCUAGAGUACGAAAGAGGGUCGCGGAAUUCCCGGUGUAGAGGUGAAAUUCGUAGAUAUCGGGAGGAACACCGGUGGCGAAGGCGGCGACCUGGGUCGAGACUGACGCUGAGGAGCGAAAGCCAGGGGAGCAAACGGG